rnacentral:tRNA from 1 species
GCCUGGGUGGCUCAGUUGGUUAAGCGUCUGAAUUCAGCUCAGGUCAAUGAGUUUGAACCUCAUAUUGGGCU